GGGGGUGAGGAGGUUCGACGGAAGAUGGACCGGGCGGGAGAAGCGAGCCGAGCCACGCCUCGUUAAACCGUGACCGCACGUUAAGUGCCAAGAACGAACCUGUUCUAGCUGCCGCUUAAUGCAGCUACGCUCUUUCAGGCCAAGCCCGCGGGCCUGAAGGGGCGACGGUCAGCGGGCUGGUUCCGGCGGGAGGGUCCGCGCUCGCCGGGGCGAGAUUUCAGACGGACUAGCUGGCUGGACUGGGUUUCCCGGGGAAAGCCAGGCGAAGUCUGACAGGGAAACUACGCUCGUAGAAGGCCCGCAGGUCGUCUUUCGGACGCGGGGUGCGACUCCCCGCCACCUCCACCA
rnacentral:tmRNA from 1 species